UGGGGAAUAUUGCACAAUGGGGGAAACCCUGAUGCAGCGACGCCGCGUGAACGAAGAAGGUAUUCGUAUCGUAAAGUUCUGUCCUAUGGGAAGAUAAUGACAGUACCAUAGAAGAAAGCUCCGGCUAAAUACGUGCCAGCAGCCGCGGUAAUACGUAUGGAGCGAGCGUUGUCCGGAAUUAUUGGGCGUAAAGGGUACGCAGGCGGUUUAAUAAGUCGAAUGUUAAAGAUCGGGGCUCAACCCCGCAAAGCAUUGGAAACUGAUAAACUUGAGUAGUGGAGAGGAAAGUGGAAUUCCUAGUGUAGUGGUGAAAUACGUAGAUAUUAGGAGGAAUACCAGUAGCGAAUGCGACUUUCUGGACACAAACUGACGCUGAGGUACGAAAGCGUGGGGAGCAAACAGG
rnacentral:rRNA from 1 species